rnacentral:rRNA from 1 species
GCGGACGGGUGAGUAAUGCUUGGGAACUUGCCUUUGCGAGGGGGAUAACAGUUGGAAACGACUGCUAAUACCGCAUAAUGUCUUCGGACCAAACGGGGCUUCGGCUCCGGCGCAAAGAGAGGCCCAAGUGAGAUUAGCUAGUUGGUAAGGUAACGGCUUACCAAGGCGACGAUCUCUAGCUGUUCUGAGAGGAAGAUCAGCCACACUGGGAGUGAGACACGGCCCAGACUCCUACGGGAGGCAGCAGUGGGGAAUAUUGCACAAUGGGGGAAACCCUGAUGCAGCCAUGCCGCGUGUGUGAAGAAGGCCUUCGGGUUGUAAAGCAGUUU